rnacentral:rRNA from 1 species
GAUGAACGCUGGCGGCGUGCCUAAUACAUGCAAGUCGAACGCACAGCGAAAGGUGCUUGCACCUUUCAAGUGAGUGGCGAACGGGUGAGUAACACGUGGACAACCUGCCUCAAGGCUGGGGAUAACAUUUGGAAACAGAUGCUAAUACCGAAUAAAACUUAGUGUCGCAUGACACAAAGUUAAAAGGCGCUUUGGCGUCACCUAGAGAUGGAUCCGCGGUGCAUUAGUUAGUUGGUGGGGUAAAGGCCUACCAAGACAAUGAUGCAUAGCCGAUUUGAGAGACUGAUCGGCCACAUUGGGACUGAGACACGGCCCAAACUCCUACGGGAGGCUGCAGUAGGGAAUCUUCCACAAUGGGCGAAAGCCUGAUGGAGCAACGCGGCGUGUGUGAUGAAGGCUUUCGGGUCGUAAAGCACUGUUGUAUGGGAAGAACAGCUAGAAUAGGGAAUGAUUUUAGUUUGACGGUACCAUACCAGAAAGGGACGGCUAAAUACGUGCCAGCAGCCGCCGUAA